AGAAAGGACACAUUCUUCCGCAAGCAAUGUCUCAGCAGCUACAAAAAUCCCAUAAAAAGCCCCAUCUCUUUCACCGUGGGGGCUGACCAGUACGUGAGGCUCAACGUCACACAAUGCAACGACAAAGACAAGUGCAACUCAGCCACACUGCAAGUGACCAAGAACAACACCUUGAACGGGCUGCAGUGCCCAACCUGCUUUGCUCUGAACUUUGCUGCCUGCAACAGUGUAAUCACCCCCUGCACAGGGCAGGAGACCUAUUGCAUAGAUUUCAAGGGCAUCUGGUUCCAAGGUGACUCACCAACACCAUUUGAAGCACAGGGCUGCGCGUCGGCGUCUUCACAGGAGAUUAAGCCCAGGAGCAACCUGACUGUUGCAAUCUACAAGUUUGUCUUUUAUUGGGUGACCGCUGUUAAAGCACAACCCAUACCCAGCAACCCAUCUACAGCCCCCACGACGCCUCCCCCGACUUCC